GGGUAGAGUAGGAAAGAGGUCUAGAUACAGCUGAAUAGCUGGCUCUGAAACCAGAUAAGAUUAGUCUGGGUUGGGUCCGGGAUUUCCUAGUGGUUGAGGAUGUUCCUAAAAAGUUCUUUAUGCAAUGACUGAAAGAGCACUGAGGACAGAGAAGAGUUGUGGAGGUGGUUGUAAGAUCUAGCUGAACACAGAAGAGUCCUCCUUUUAACAGGAGAAGUUGAGAGGCAGAACAGUGUGGAACCCCAGCAAAGUGUUUUUAGGUUGAACUCUUUAAGGUAAGAGUUAUUUGAGCCUUAAUGGGCUGAAAGACUCCUAUCUGUGGAGCUAUGGUGGGAGAUCAAGUGCAGCUGAAGGAAUUCAAGUCUCCACAGCCUCUCUCCUGGAGCUAGCUGUACAGCUCAAGCUCAGAACAGAGGUUGCUCACUGAGGAAAAAGGAGGUCAGAGGUCUGCUUCCAGGAGAUCCAGAAUUUCACCUAGAUGGAUUUUUACUACCAUAUACAAUGAAGUGGAAUUUAUUUUUAUUGUAGAAGAAUGUAAAGUUGUUUGAUGUGUCCUUUCUGCAAGAGAAGCUUAAGCUGUGACAGACAAGCUGCCAUGAGUACUCAAGACUAUGAAGAACACUUAGGCUUUUGUUUUGCCAUUUGAGUUACAAAGGUCGGGCCUUGAGAAAGAGGAAUGAACAUGCAGUGCAUGUCCUACCCAGAGGAGAGUAUUUCAAACCUAACAAGGACUAAUGCCCAAGAACUGGGAAAGGAAGAAGCCUUGUAUUAGUCUUGAACACUAGACAGAAGUGUUAAUAAAUGUAAUAAUUUUGUGCUGUAUUAUAAAAGCCAGUUGCUGCCAUUCAGCAGCAAUGCAAGUGUGCAUUGUGGAUAUUCUUGCACCCUCUACUACAAAGUCUUUCCCAGCCUCAGCAAUCAUCUACUCCAUAAGUCCUCACUUCUAGUGCCGUUUGUGUAAUUUAAAUAUGCUAGCAUUUUUAAAGUAGACUGAAAAAAAUCUAGUCUAAUGUUGUACCUACACCAUUUUGGCUACAUACCACUUCUACAUGGUAUUUUGAGCUGAUUUCAUUGUUUUGUAUUUGCUGUUCUAUCAACUGCCUUGACUUGCAGAUAUGCCUCACUACCCGUUGAUUGUAUCUAAUGUUUUCCCUAUUCUUUUCCAAUGUUUCUAUUUUUCCACUUCAUAGUCUUUCCUUCCAUUUAUUUGAUUCUUGUCUUCAGACCUUACAUCCUUCCUGAUACCAUCAGAUUGCUUUUCUACUGAAGGAUAGGAGCUGUCAUGGCCUUAGAGAUUAUCUCACUGCUUUAAAAAAAAAAGUUGGAUUUGCUUGUAGUUUGUGCUCAGUUCUUUUGCCUACACAUCAGUCAAGGAUCAACAAAGUCAACAUGAUGAGUUAGUAAUGCUGAUUUUUAUUACUUUAAAAUCAAACCUUCUUGUCUAGAUCCUUCAGAGUUUCCAUCUCUAACAUUGUCUUUUGCUCAGUUGCUUGUUAUGACCCCUCUGUAGACAUUUAUAAGAGUUAAAACACUAGGUAUUUUUCCUAAAACAAAAAACUUGCUUACAUGCCAAGGAAAAUAACCAUUAAGACUAUGUGUAACAACGCAAUCUGGUGACUCCUGCCAUAACAAGAUUCUUCCUCUGUCUCCCACUGCUUCCUCCCUCCCUUUACCAUUCGUGUCAUCACUCACCUCCCUAACGCUUCUUUUCCUUGUCUUUCCUCCUCCUCCUCAAUCAUAGUGUUUUUGAAAGAUGUAAUCACCUUUUACUGUAAUAACAGGAUCAUACAAUCACAGAAUGGCCUGGUUGGAGGGGACCUCGAGGGACCCCCCUGCCAUAAUGUCUGCUUUUUACUCAUGGUAUCUUUCUAUGAUAAUGUCCUUGCAGAACCACCACCACCACAAUAUAGGCUCAAUGCUCUAUCCUCCCUCUCAUUUCAGUCUGGAUUUGCUCUCUCAGUUUGAAACUUUCCCAAGUUUUUGUACUCAAUGUUCAUCUCUAAUGUGGCUGUGCUGUGUAUCACCUUGUAGCCCCGUCUAGUGACAGGGCAAAUCUAUGUAUUGACUUCUAUUUUUAUAACAGAACCACUUUCUACUGCUUCUCCUUUCCCAUUACUCAUGUCCUCUGGAGUCCAAUGCAGAAGAUACCUUAUUACCAGGAAACAAAAAUAGCAAGGAAAUAGUAUUGGUACAAUAUUCAAUCACAUACAAGUGAUUCAUCAGCUCCUCAAAACUUAUGCUUAACCAGAAAGAAUCAAAAAGAUACACAUAAUAUAUUUUUUUACAUAAAUGAAAGAUGUCUUCAAUGGAAGAGUUAGAUCUCUUGCCUCACUCAUUUUAAAACAUAUAUUAAAAAGUUGAUCCAUUGUGUCUUAUGAGGACCUAUUUGGAAGAGUUUUCUGGUAAUAGAUCACUGAGGAAAAAAUGGCAAAUUCAAACUAAAAGAAUAACAAUUUUAUUCAUGAAGAAAAGCUGGCAACAGAAUAACUGAAGCUAGGGGGUUGGAGGCCUUUAUUAUCACUUCUGAAAAAAAUAAGAUGCAGUUGAAAAUUCAGGCCUGUAGUGCUGAAGAUGUAUUCCUGACAGAAUUCAAACAAAUGGUGAUCUAUAUUGUCCACUCUAGCCCUGAACCUGUCCUAUAACUAAGAGGUCUUGAUAUAGUCAUGGCAUGUGUAGACAGAAGCUGCAUCUCAGUGAAAAUUCAGUUGCAGAAAUUCAAGAAGGGGGUAAGGAUCUUUUAAGAAAGGGUCUCGUAAGCCAAAGUGUGAAAGAAAUCAAAAUGUGAAAUUAUGAAUUAAAUCUUUAGAUUAAAAAGUUUGGAUAUGAGAAAACACACCUUGAGAUUUCUCUGUACUCUGUGGACAACUUACUAAUUCAGGAACUGCUUUUUCCCCAGUGAUAUCCUGAGUGAAUCUGGU